rnacentral:sRNA from 1 species
AUUUCAUCCAUGCUAAGGCCAUGCGGAAGGUAGAGUGGUGGAUGAGCAGGAUGUUGGGAUGAGGGGAGGGUCGAGAGGAAAGGAGGGCUCCCUCCUGGUGCCUCCGUCUCCUGCCCUAGGUCCGGGAGGUGCGAGCUCAACUCAAGGACAUCAUGGUGCAGCAGCGGAUGAGCCUGGCCUCGUGUGGCACUGACUGGGACAUCGUCAGGAAGUGCAUCUGUGCUGCCUAUUUCCACCAAGCAGCCAAGCUCAAGGUGAGCCCAGGAGCCCAGUGAGCCCCUCCCAGCCUGAUACCUGUAUAAGGGCAAAGUUCUUCCUUUGUCCUGGUGUGGUUCUGCAGAUCUGGCUUCCGCCAAAGUCUGUGUCAAGAGUGUUAAGGGAUGGGGUCGCUGCCCAAAUGGGUGUUGUUUUCCUGAUGUGGCUGCCUGUUGUGUCUCCUCCCUAGGGCAUCGGGGAGUACGUGAACAUCCGCACGGGGAUGCCCUGCCACUUGCACCCCACCAGCUCCCUUUUUGGAAUGGGCUACACCCCAGAUUACAUAGUGUAUCACGAGUUGGUCAUGACCACCAAGGAGUAUAUGCAGUGUGUGACCGCUGUGGACGGGGAGUGGCUGGCGGAGCUGGGCCCCAUGUUCUAUAGCGUGAAACAGGCGGGCAAGUCACGGCAGGAGAACCGUCGUCGGGCCAAAGAGGAAGCCUCUGCCAUGGAGGAGGAGAUGGCGCUGGCUGAGGAGCAGCUGCGAGCCCGGCGGCAGGAGCAGGAGAAGCGCAGCCCCCUGGGCAGUGUCAGGUCUACGAAGAUCUACACUCCAGGCCGGAAAGAGCAAGGGGAGCCCAUGACCCCUCGCCGCACACCAGCCCGCUUUGGUCUGUGAGCUGAGGCUGUCCCCAGAGAGGAUGGCAGCAGGUAUUGGGUCCUGAGCCUUCUGGCGGGAGCCCUGAGGCUGUGGACAAAGCCCUUUCAUCUGAGGACUUUCAUCUGUGCAUAUCACGGCCCCCCAGGGCAGUUCCUGCUGGACCAGACUCUC